CUUUUGAUCAGAACCUGUCUCCUAUAUGCAUAUCUAUCAGAAUUAAAUAGGUGGUCAAAAACUGUCGACAAACUAAUGUAUGGGCCUGGUCGUAAAGUGCAGUCUAAAUUUCCAUUGUAGGGACCGUACAACUCUCGUCCUUGCCAGUACGUGUGCGUGAUCCAGGCAAUGUCAAGUACGCCCACCGCUUACUAUUGCUAAUAUUCACCCUUAACAUCCGCUAGCCCAGUCCGUAACAAUGCAAGAUAACUGCCACCAUUAACAGUCUAUUCGAAUAAACCCGCAGCAAAGAUACUCCGAAAAUGAGGCGCACUCUUUGGCACAUGCUCACGGCCCAGCUCCUGCUCCUGGUACUCUGUUCGCUGCUCUCUCUCUGCUCCGGCGGCAAUAUGCAUCCUUUGAAAGUGGGCAAAAACUAUGCGUCGCUGCACAACCAGCCCAAGGACUUUCGCUCUUUAGUGAUGGAUAUUAGCAAGUUUGUUCUCACUAUUGUGAGCAGAACGCGUUGAGUCACGUUUUUUUUUGUUUAUUGUUAAUUUUUUUUGAGCACGUAUUCCUUAUUUAUAGAAAGCAAAAGCUUUUUCCUCCAUCUAAUCUGUCCAAAGAUCUGACUAGUACCAUAUCUAUUACUAAGCUGGCGUCGAGAUUUGAAUUCCAAUCUGAGUCCUGCCCCCCAUUCAAUUCAGAGUUCCAAAAUUCUCCAUUAAAGACCGACAGAAAGGCCAGCGACCAGCAGAUCAGUGCAGAGACCGACAAUCAUUGCCAAAGCAACGCAAAGCCUGGCCUCGAACUGAAUUUACAAUAAAAAUUCUUAAUUCUUGGUACAAAAAUUUCUGUAUUUAGCUGAUGAAAAUAAUUU
rnacentral:sRNA from 1 species